GUCUACAGGCAUGCCACCCUGAAUGAACCCGAUCCCAUCUGUUCUCGGAAGCUAAGCAGGGUCGGGCCUGGUUAGUUCUUAGGUGGGAGAUCACAUAGGAAGACCAGAGGUCGUAGGCA
ensembl:rRNA 5S_rRNA 5S ribosomal RNA